CUAGGAGGCUCUCGUCCCAGGCAGCAGACGAGCCGUCUGUGCUGAAGAGGUGGAAGAUCUGUUGGAUCGUCUCAUGGACCGCGGAGAUGGCUUGAGCCUUCCGGAACUGGUUGCCGUCAAACACCUCCUGGGGGAAUCCAAAGUCAUUUCUGUCCUUCAGGCAGGAGAAGGGGGAGAUUCUCCUCAUUUGUCCCAGGAGCAUCAAGACCCUUGUGUUGCCCAGGCUAUGGGUGUGAGGCAGGUCACAUCCCAGAGAGCAGCUGGAGUGGCAGCUGAGCACCACCAGGGCCAUCAGUAAGGAAAAUGGUAGAGCCAUUGGGGAUCUUGCAGAUGCUGCUGGCCUGGCUCAGGAAGUUAGGCUGCCUCAGCCCUGGAGAUUCCUACUCUUUAAAUGGCUCCACAGAGAUCCCUAGCUCCUUUCAGCUUGUGAGGACACAAUAAGUCUGCAACCUAGAAGUGGGUCCUCACCCAACCAUGCUGGAGCCAUGAUCUUGCACUUCUGCCUCCAGAACCCUAAUAAGGAAACAACUUGUGAUGUCUCCACACUUGUGGCUAUUUUCUAACUUUAGCCUAAGCCCUAGGAGUUAACCUGAAUGCUUCGUUCAAAGGAUCAAUGAUACUGUGCACUCUAAGGAGUGACAUCCACAUCAUCUCCCCAGCUUUAAAUUGCGGAAUCAUAUUUUGGGAGCAAGCAUUAAGUUAACCAACAGGCACAGACCUGGGAGCUUUGGCUUCAGUUGGCCGGAACGCUGGGGGGACAUGGGAGAGACACUGUCACCGCCUUGGGGAGGAACUUGUGUGGCUUAAAUAGGGACUAAGAAACCUCCCUUUCUGUGGCCCUGACUACUGAGGAGGGAGCUUGGCCCUGGCCUCACCAGAAACGUGUUUCUCAGGGAGCAAACACAAAACCCAACAUUUUCUGCCAUGUCCCCCCGAGUUUUGUGCCGUUUUUGUACUGAAUCUGUUUACCGAGAAUUUUCCUUAUUUUAAAAAAAAUCAAUUAAAGCCAUAAUUCAUAUUAGGUUUCACUUUUUGUGUUGUGCGUUCCAUGGGAUUUGACAUAACACAUAAUGACACAUAUGCAUUGUUAUAGUAUGAUACAGAAUACUUUUCUUGCCCUAAAAUUUUCCUGUUCUCCACCUAUUCAUCCAC
rnacentral:lncRNA from 1 species